UUCCAGUUGUUUUUGAUGCUGUUAAGGAUAGCAUCUAGUGAGUCUUGAAAAAGGAAUAAAACCAUUCCGAAAGCUAGACAAAAAGUCAAAA
rnacentral:lncRNA from 1 species